UUUUACAAUGGAGAGUUUGAUCCUGGCUCAGGAUGAACGCUAGCUACAGGCUUAACACAUGCAAGUCGAGGGGAAACGGCAUUGAGUGCUUGCACUCUUUGGACGUCGACCGGCGCACGGGUGAGUAACGCGUAUCCAACCUUCCCAUUACUGUGGGAUAACCUGCCGAAAGGCAGACUAAUACCGCAUAGUCUUCGAUGACGGCAUCAGAUUUGAAGUAAAGAUUUAUCGGUAAUGGAUGGGGAUGCGUCUGAUUAGCUUGUUGGCGGGGUAACGGCCCACCAAGGCGACGAUCAGUAGGGGUUCUGAGAGGAAGGUCCCCCAC
rnacentral:rRNA from 1 species